rnacentral:lncRNA from 1 species
GAGCUACUCAUGUCCUGUUCCUCGUCCUCAGUGAUCUCACUGAAGGUAUGUUCUUCCCCCCAGCCACGUACAACACCACGGGUACCAGAUAGGUGACAAUGGGCACCCUGGGAUGCCUGUUGUGGUUGGUCUUCCUCCUCUUCCUCAAAGCCACAUUCCUCCUCUGACUCCUCUUCCUCACAAUCCUCUCCCAGCGUUGCCG